rnacentral:rRNA from 1 species
AGAAUUUUGGGCAAUGGACGAAAGUCUGACCCAGCAAUGCCGCGUGCGGGAUGAAGGUCUUCGGAUUGUAAACCGCUGUCAAGUGGGACGAAACAAAUGACGGUACCGCUGAAGGAAGUCACGGCUAACUACGUGCCAGCAGCCGCGGUAAUACGUAGGUGACAAGCGUUGUUCGGAUUCAUUGGGCGUAAAGGGUCCGCAGGUGGUCAGACAAGUCUGACGUGAAAUACCGGAGCUCAACUCCGGAAUUGCGUUGGAAACUGUGUGACUGGAGUACCGGAGAGGAAAUUGGAAUUUCAGGUGUAGCGGUGGAAUGCGUAGAUAUCUGAAAGAACAUCGAAAGCGAAGGCAGAUUUCUGGACGGUUACUGACACUCAGGGACGAAAGCAUGGGGAGCAAACA